AUGUUGAAGCAGGAGCGUAAUGACAUGAAUCACAAGACCAAGAUGGAGGAGAUCCGCAUGGAAGGGAAUAUAAUGCAAGACCGCGUUCUACAACUCGAGCGUGGUAAGAUGGGCUUCAAUAACAUCCAGACGCGUGUGGGCAUGGACCUUAACUUACCACAUGACCGCAAUGAUCUGGAUUACAAGGCCAAGAUGGAGGAGACCCGCAUGGAAGGAAAUACGAUACAAGACCAUGCUAAUACACGCCUGAAGCAGGCUCAGCAGGAUGACAAGGCCAAGAUGGAGGAGAUCCGCAUGAAAGAGGGUAUGAUGCAAGACCAUGCUAGUACAGGCACGAAGGAACAACAAGACAUCCCUACACCAGAGCAAUCUGUCUCAUCAGUACCUCUACAGGUAGAACAAGAGAUCUGUACACCAGAGCAAUCUAUCUCAUCCUACGUAGUUGUAAUGCAAUUUAUUGUUCAUGUGGACGAAGAACUUUCUCAUGUUCCUGAAGCAUACCACAACAAGAAACCUGGUAUGAUGACAGUACUUGAACCUGCCAAGGUGGACUGGCAGAUAAUGGUGAAAAAUUUGCGUUACCAUGGGUACAAAGGGGAAGCAGAUUUGUACUACAUCAAGCCUGGGUGCGUACCACCAAAAGGAAUGGUAAAGAUGUCAGGCCAGCAUGACGUCGAUGAAAUGUUGCACACUUUAGAAGGGAUAAAGAAAUGUCAUUUGUACAUUGUGAAGAAUUGUGCAUUCCCAAAUUAUAGCGACGAUGACAUGUCUGAACAGGACAUGUCCGAAGAAGACAUAUAUGCAUGUGGGUACAUGGAUAUCGGCGAGAGGGACAUGGGCGAAUAUGGGUCAUUGCCCAAAAGGAAGAAAAUUGCAGAUAACAAUACGAAGAAAGCAUUGGAUUUCGGCAGCAGUGAUGAGCCUCUUCAGUAG
rnacentral:rRNA from 1 species